AGAGUUUGAUCAUGGCUCAGAACGAACGCUGGCGGCGUGCCUAACACAUGUAAGUCGAACGGAAUUAAGGGGCUUGCUCCUUAAUUUAGUGGCGCACGGGCGAGUAACGCGUAGAUAAUCUGCCCUGGUAUCUGGGAUAACAUCUCGAAAGGGGUGCUAAUACCGGAUAAGCCCACGAUGGCUUUGGUCGUUGCGGGAAAAGGAGGCCUCUGAACAUGCUUCCGUACCAGGAUGAGUCUGCGUACCAUUAGCUAGUUGGUAGGGUAAUGGCCUACCAAGGCGACGAUGGUUAGCUGGUCUGAGAGGAUGAUCAGCCACACUGGAACUGAGACACGGUCCAGACUCCUACGGGAGGCAGCAGUGGGGAAUUUUGCGCAAUGGGCGAAAGCCUGACGCAGCAACGCCGCGUGAGUGAUGAAGGCUUUCGGGUCGUAAAGCUCUGUCAAGGGGAAAGAAAUGCUUAGCGGUUAAUACCCGUUAUGCUUGACGGUACCCCUAAAGGAAGCACCGGCUAACUCCGUGCCAGCAGCCGCGGUAAUACGGAGGGUGCGAGCGUUGUUCGGAAUUAUUGGGCGUAAAGCGCGUGUAGGCGGUUUGGUAAGUCUGAUGUGAAAGCCCCGGGCUCAACCCGGGAAGUGCAUUGGAAACUGUCAGACUUGAAUACGGGAGAGGGUAGUGGAAUUCCUGGUGUAGGAGUGAAAUCCGUAGAUAUCAGGAGGAACACCGGUGGCGAAGGCGGCUGCCUGGACCGAUAUUGACGCUGAGACGCGAAAGCGUGGGUAGCAAACAGGAUUAGAUACCCUGGUAGUCCACGCCGUAAACGAUGAGUA
rnacentral:rRNA from 1 species